AACGAACGCUGGCGGCAUGCCUAACACAUGCAAGUCGAACGAGACCUUCGGGUCUAGUGGCGCACGGGUGCGUAACGCGUGGGAACCUACCCUUAGGUUCGGAAUAACUCCCCGAAAGGGGUGCUAAUACCGGAUAAUGUCUUCGGACCAAAGAUUUAUCGUCUUUGGAUGGGCCCGCGUUGGAUUAGCUAGUUGGUAGGGUAAAAGCCUACCAAGGCGACGAUCCAUAGCUGGUCUGAGAGGAUGAUCAGCCACACUGGGACUGAGACACGGCCCAGACUCCUACGGGAGGCAGCAGUGGGGAAUAUUGGACAAUGGGCGAAAGCCUGAUCCAGCAAUGCCGCGUGAGUGAUGAAGGCCUUAGGGUUGUAAAGCUCUUUUACCCGGGAUGAUAAUGACAGUACCGGGAGAAUAAGCUCCGGCUAACUCCGUG
rnacentral:rRNA from 1 species